CACGUGCCAGCUGGCAAAUUCAACCUACGUUUCAUAGUAAUGAAACUCAACAAUGGUGCUGAGGUGGGCUAGUAUGGCGGUGUGAUGGACAUCAACUCUUCCUAUCUGGUGCCAGAGGACGCCACCCAUUUCCACAAGACUCUGAAAGAUAUGUGUGACAAACACGAUGCCAGCUAAUACCCACACUUCAAGAAGUGGUGUGACGAGUACUUCUUCAUCCCACAUUGAGGAGAAACUCGGGGGCUUGGGGGAAUCUUUUUCGAUAAUUUGACUUCUGAGGAGGAGGGAAACUUCAGCUUCCUAGAAUCCUGUGCGAACACCAUCCUCCCAGCCUACAGUACCUUCCAAUUCUAAAGGGCCGCAUGUGUGAUACCUAUACUGACCAGGAGAUAGCAUGGAAACAACUUCGAAAUGGCAGGUACACAGAGUUCAAUCUGAUGUAUGAUAAAGGCUUGAAGUUUGGUCUCCAGCUUCCAGGAUUCCAGAUGGAGACCCUGUUUGCCUCUCAGCCCCCUACAGCCUUGUGGGGCUACAGGUCAGACCCUGAGCCAGGUAGCAGAGAGGAUGAGCUGGUGCAGGUGCUGCGCUGUCCUCAGGAGUGGGCCUGAAAACAAUCACAUUCCUGCUGCCAUGGUUACUGUACGUUUACCAUGCCAACCACACAGCUAUACUGAAAUGUCACAGCUUAAUGGUUAUGGUUAUUGUAUUUAGCAGACACUUUUUUUUACUGGGUGAACAGUUUUCACCUAGUAAAACACAAUUUGCUGAUCUAAUUGAUUCUUUUGCAAAACUCUAAACAUAUUCUCGAGCAAUAAAACACAUCGUGAUGCACUUGACCAUAAUGGUAACCACAAGUGGCAAAAUGCAUUUACUGUAUUGUAAACAAUGAACAUUUCUCCUGGAUCUAUAUACCAUGCCCUGAACACUGAGCACCUUUGCAUUUUUAAUGUAGUGUGUACUGACUGCUCAGUAGUGUUUUCAGUUUGAUUGCUUUGUGAAUUAUCUAAAGACAUAGUUUGGUUUUGAGCACAGGUAAAACUGUUUUGAGACUGAUAGUUCAGUUUUGCAAGAAGUGACAGAGGUUCUGUGAAUGUAGUUUGAGAAUGG